rnacentral:rRNA from 1 species
UACAGAGGGUGCAAGCGUUAAUCGGAAUUACUAGGCGUAAAGCGUGCGUAGACGGUUAUGUAAGUCAGAUGUGAAAGCCCCGGGCUCAACCUGGGAAUUGCAUUCGAGACUGCGUAGCUAGGGUGCGGAAGAGGGAAGCGGAAUUUCCGGUGUAGCGGUGAAAUGCGUAGAUAUCGGAAGGAACACCAGUGGCGAAAGCGGCUUCCUGGUCCAGCACCGACGUUCAGGCACGAAAGCGUGGGGAGCAAACAGG